rnacentral:misc_RNA from 1 species
ACCUACUGUUUAAUUUUGAGGGUUCGUUUUUACGAAUACUCAAAAUUAGCACUUUAAGCAACGGGAUUUAUCCGUUGGCGCCGUGCUUUAGCACUUUAAGCAACAGAAUAAACUGAACGCAUGUGAAGUUUGUUUGUUGGCGCUGUGCGUUAGCACUUUAAGUAACGGAAUAAUCUGAGUGAAUACGAAGGUUGUUCGUUGACGUGGUGCGUUAGCACUUUAAGCAACUGGAUUUAUCCGUUGGCGCCGUGCUUUAGCACUUUGAAAACUGCAUAUAUAUUUAGUGAUAUGACAUCUAAUUUGUAAUAUAUAAAGCUGAUAACUUUUUAAAAUUAUCGAAGUUGAUAGCUUCUAAUCUAUCAAACCUUUUUAACUGGUCAA